UACACCACCGUUAGGGAAAUUAUGAUGAAUUGCUUUCAAAUAGAAAUUUUUUUUUUUUUUAUAAGCAAAGGAUGUAUUAAUAAAGAUGCACAAGGGGGUGCAAACCCAUUACAACCAAAACAGAACCAUACACAGUGAGCAAUUAUAACACUGAGCGUGUAAAUUGGAAUCUUGUAAAAUUAGGGUUCCUGGAAGCAGCAUGGAGAAGAAGACGACGUAUCUACCUCAUGAAUUGAUCAUUCUCAUCCUGUUGAAGCUGCCGGUGAAUUCUAUUAUACGUUUCAAAUUGAUUUGUAAGUUAUGGUUUUCUCUUAUCUCUGAUUCCCAAUUUGCAUCUUCACAUUUUGAACAUGCGGGCUCACACUCUCGUAAAAUUGCAUGGAUGGAACGAUCUUGUAAAAUUAUAUCUAUAGAUUUUGAAGGAUCAAUUGGUAAUGUUUCACCGACUAUUGCUCCAUUUCUUUGGCCUGAAAUUAAAGGUUCAUGUAGAGGGUUUAUAUAUGUGCACACUCGGCGUACAAUUUAUAUAUGGAAUCCAACCACUGGAUCUAACGUAGAAAUACCUAGAUCUCCUUUUGAAUCCAACAAUAAAUCAAGUACUUCAGAUAAUCUUUACGGUUUUGGUUAUGACCGGUCGAGAGAUGAUUACUUGGUGGUUGCAUGUUGUUAUGAUCCAGAUUUAUAUAAUAUUUCAUCGCGUUUACAGUUUUUUUCAUUUAGAGAUCAUAAGUGGAAAGAAGUUGAGGGUCCUCAUUGCUCUUUUAGGAUUGAAUCUGAAAAUGCGGGGUCGCUCUGUAAUGGGGCUAUUCAUUGGACGGCUUAUCGCGAUUACGACGAGUUAAAAGUUAUUGUUGCUUUUGAUUUAAUGGAAAGGAAAAUGUUAGAGAUACCUUUUUCAGAUGAAUGUGAGCUGGGUUUAAUCAGUGAUGUGUGGGUAUUUGGAGAAUUUCUCAGUGUGUGGACUAAAAAUAAUGACACAUUUGAAAUUUUUGUGAUGAAAGAAUACAAAGUGCAUUCCUCUUGGACUAAGACUCUUGUUUUUCCUAUUAUUAAUGAUGAUCUUCUCUGGUUUAAGCCUGUAUGCCAUACAAAAAGUGGUGAUAUUAUUGGAACAGCUUAUCGUAAAAUUGUGAAGUUAAAUGUUGAAGGAGAUGUGUUAGAGAUUACCUCUAACGGCGACAGCUUGGACGGACUCCAAACUGUCGUCUAUACGGAGUCUCUGCUUUCACUUCCUGGUAGUGACAUUCAGCAAGUUUAAGAUGACACAAACAAGAAGGGUAAUAUGUGUUUGACUGCAUGUGUAACAUGAGCUAAUAGGCCCACAUGAGAUGGAUGCUGUUGGAAGCUGUCACUGUUUGACAUUGUUUUUCUAGGAGUUUAUGAAUGCCGAUGAGAAAAAGAAGAUUUUGUUCUUUAGGUUCAGCUGUCUCUAUUGCCAUUUCUCAGUUUCAAACCAGAAAAAAAAACUAAUUUAAAGUUAAUGAGCUACAAAUGAUUGUAUAGGAUUUUAGAUCAGGAAAAACAUCAAAAAUAUGUUGCCAUAUUGAAAAUAGUGCUACAAUUAUAAUAUAAAAUGUAACACUUUAUUCAAUAUAAAUUGUAACACAUCUAUAUGUCAUUUUCUCUACUUAUUUUUGCAGAGCUGUAUAUGAGUAAGAAGUAUAGUGUAUACAUUUAUUUUUUCAAUUCCUAACUUGUAUACAUUUAUGUUGUGUACUCACCUUAGUUCAAUCAUUACAGAUUCACUAUCAUCUAUUACCUUCUUGCCGCUUACAAUAGAUCACUAACAAUUUUCGCACACCAUUAUUGA